rnacentral:rRNA from 1 species
UACGUAGGGUGCGAGCGUUGUCCGGAAUUAUUGGGCGUAAAGAGCUCGUAGGCGGUCUGUCGCGUCGAAUGUGAAAACCCGGGGCUCAACUCCGGGCUUGCAUUCGAUACGGGCAGGCUAGAGUUCGGUAGGGGAGUCUGGAAUUCCUGGUGUAGCGGUGAAAUGCGCAGAUAUCAGGAGGAACACCGAUGGCGAAGGCAGGUCUCUGGGCCACUACUGACGCUGAGAAGCGAAAGCGUGGGGAGCGAACAGG